ACGAUCGCUUUCGAGUGUGUGUGGUAAAGAUCAUCACAACUCUGGAACAGCUUUCUCCAUGUUUUGUUAGUAAUCUGUAUGACGACCAUAACCCUCUCAGGCUUCUCACCCACGGACAAGGAAUGACAGUCAGCUAGCUCACAAGCGAGCUGGGACUCACAAGAAACUCUUGAGGGUGGAGUAUAGCGGGGCAAGAGUGAGGUGGUGUUGGUCUAGCCGUACUGAGGAACACACUAUGGAGCAGAUACCCAGCUCAGCAUUUCAAAUGCCCAGACUAGACGAAGCGGAAAGAAACGCCUUGAACGAAGGAAUGACAACUGGCUAAGGCUCGGGCAAGAAGUAUGGUUGUUGCAAAGUUCAAAGGUCGUCCUGUGGACUUCAGACAACAGUGGAGAGGGCUAUAUGGUUCGUAUCAGCGGUGGCAAUGACAAGCAGGGCUUCCCAUGAAGCAAGGUGUCCUCACUAAUUGCCGUGUUAAGCUCCUCCUCAAGAAGGGGCACAGUUGUUACAGACCCAAACGCACUGGAGAGAGGAAACGCAAGUAUACAUAGGGACGCUAUCAAUUGAGCAACUUGCCCCAUGUAAUAUCGAAUAUGACGUGUACAUACUUAUAUACGUUUAUACACUAAGUUUUUUGAAAUACGGACAGAAUCCACUGGGAGUGGCUUAGUGGUUAGACACAUGAUACAUGUAAAUAAGGCGUGGGUUCGAUUCCCUCUUGGGGGACUUCCUUUAUUUCGUUUCAUACAGUACUAUUGUCAAGUACACAAUCAAGUUGGGAAGUCACCAACUCGCCCUAGAUAUUAGAGGUUCUUCAUUUCCUUUAAAUUUAUCCUUUUCUCACAUCUACGCUAGCCAAUUUUGGAAGUGCCCGAAAUAUUUAUUAACUAUAGUAAUAGUAUCAAUUUUUUUUCACUUUCACAUUCAUUCACCGUGAAAGUUUAAUUUAGGCGUCAUUAAAAAUAAUAAAGUGUCAUUGUAAUGAGGUCAUUGUCACCCAGAGUGUCCCCUCAGAUCUGUGCCCGGCCCUACACUGUGUUCCGAUGGUGUCCUGGUGCUAAAAUGCGCUACAAGAGAACAGAGGUCUGCCAAUCAUGUGCCCAACUCAAGAACGUCUGUCAAACCUGUCUCCUUGGUGAGCCCUGUCACUAUAUAACCCUCUCUCUGUUGCUAUGGUGACACAAUCUCAGUACACUGCAUUCAGUACUUCCUAGAACAACUUUUUUUCAAGUCAUGAAUUUGUAUAAAAAGUCUCACAGUAGCUUAUCCUCUAUCUCUCUGUUUCCAUACAUAGUCUAAUAAAGGUCCCGUGUAGCUCUAAGGUCAGUGUGUAAGGUCACUUUACUCGCUUUUAUUUGAGCAUUAAAAGUCUGUCACUCUUAAAACUAAUAACUUGUUGUGUGUAUGGAGGCUUUAUCCGAAUAGCCGCGGUUAUGAUUUCAUAUGUAGUACCGCCCACCGCGGAACCAUUUUUACAAGUACUUCCAGUUUUCAGCCCUUAGCAAAAAAAGGUGCGUAGCUUCGAAACCGUAGCAGUUUUCUUUGGGCAACUUUGCAGCUAGCUAGUCUACAGUAGCUACUCUAUCAGGAUCUCCUGGACUCCAAUGGAAUUGUCAACCAGCUAAGGCCACAGCGAAGGAUCCUUUUAGAGGUAAGAUUUUGUGUGUAUAACGAUCGUACUUGUAGCUUGUGCAGCGUUUAUAAGCCUUCUUAGCUGAUAUACUAUGCUUAGAUACCUACUUAGAUGCCUCAGAGUGUGGAGAGUAUAGUUUAGUAGUAGCUAAAUAAGUUUACAGACCCUUUAUUAGAGUGUAGUCUAGUACACGGUUAGAUAUUCAAUUUUAUCUUUUUGUUCAGCAUUCGCCUCUGGCAAAGAAAGAUGCAUAACUUCGAAACUAUAACCGUGUUCUUUAGGUAACUUCCUAGCAAACUAGUCUACAGCAGUUACUCUGUCAGGAUCUCCUGGUUUCCAAUGGAACAGUCUACCAGCCAAUGCCACAGCGAAGGAUUAAUUCAGAGCAUUCGCCUCGUGCAAAGAAAGAUGCAACUAACUUUUAGGCAACUGCCUAGCAUUCUCUGUCGGGAUCUCCUGGUUUGGAACGGACGGCCACAGCACUUCAUAGAUGGCAACGACCUCUACGUACAUCCAUGGUGGUGAAGAGGGAAGUGAGCUAUUCCUACCGAUUUCAAGGGUGUCUUGCUUUUUUUGGAGCAGUCGCCAAUUAGCUUCUUGGCCAACUCGUGACGAAAUGAGAGGAGGGUUUUCAGUGCGUUGGUGGGUGAAUACUGUCGAUAUAAUAUGUAGCUGUUCGUAAUGCAAAUAUCCUUUAGGAAGAAGUAAAUGUACAUAUAAAACUUAUGGACUUUUGUAGGGCAUCUGUAGUACCCUCUGAGCUGAUCCCCUCUGUCGACACCCCCCAUGAAGCGAUUAUAGUCCUCGAUGCUCUGUGGGCACGGGACGGAGAUUUUUUCGCCUGUCUUGACUGUACGUUGUACAGAGAUGACCGAAGUGGCGUCAGAGGCUGUGGAGAUCACACGGACAACCCUAUUGUCGCUGAGACCGUCACCUUUUUCUUUCUGGAGAGUCAUGUAUUCCCCCCUGAAAAGGUAAAAUAAUUAUGCUUAUUACUUUCUGUCAGCUUUGGCUGCUUGAGAGCCUUGGGGAAGCCUCUGCGGUCAGCGCGAGCUGUACCACAAGUAUAAAUGCCAUCCUUCUCCAAGUCUUCUAACAGUUUGACAGACGUGAAAAAGUUGUCAAAAUAGACGUGGUGGUGCUUGUGCUUCAACGAGGCUGUGAGGUCUUUCACAACUCGUGCUCCCAGUUGCUUCUCUGGUGUGGCUUCUCUCCCUGUAUACACUUGUAGCAUGUGGAAGUACCCGUCUGCUAGGACCCAAACCUUGAUUCCUCUCUUCACAGGUUUAUUUGGGAGGUACUGUUUCAGUGCAGAUCUACCCUGAAACUUUAUCAUUGCCUCGUCUACUGCAACUUCACGGCCUAAGUUGUAUGCAGCAGAACAGCGCUCGUUGAUCUUAUUGAAGAGGGGGCGUACUUUGGCCAAACGAUCGCUACCUGGGGUGCCUGGAGUCGGGAGAGUGGUGUUGUCCGUGAAAUGGAGGUAUCGUCGGAUGUCCCUAAAGCGAUCGCGUGAGAUGUUCGAUGCAAUUGUGGUAAAGAAAUGCUGGAAUAUGUCUAAGGGAGAACUUGAGAUGGAUACAGCUGGGCCUACAGAUUGAAUGAAGGCCUCUCGAGAAUGGUCUUGAAGGGUGGGAGUCCAAGGGCAGGGGGAACUGUUUCAGCACGGACUCACAGUCACUGCAGCAGGCUCUCUGUUACCUGCACUGUCAGGGGAUUGUUCACAAUGACCUGAGACUGCGGGGUCAUGGCAUCAUUAAGAGGUCAGUACAUAGUUACAUGGGCAUGACCUCUGUAAUCUGAAAUACUGAGGUCAGAGGUCAUGAGUAUGUUUAUUGCUUUUGGGCCUAAAUUUUAUAUUUUUUUGAAGAAAGAGCAAGGAUAUAGAGAGUGUCAUACAGGGGGGAUAUCCCCCCUGCAUUCAUGCAGGUACUAGUUGGGGUCCAUAGCUGGCAAUUUUACAUACUAACAGCUAUAGGGUAUUGAAGUAACAGUUGACCUUUUUUUUUAGCUAGUUACAUUUCAACAAUCAUUUCCCACUAUAAUUAUACGUACGGUAAUCGUCUAAUUUCAUGCUAAAGAAUGUAUGUGCCUUUUGAUGGAGGAAUCAAUGAUUGAUUUUAGUAUACGUAGCUAUACCCACAUUGUACUAUUAUAUACAGCUAAAAUCCUAGUCACACAUGCACACACACCCCACACACACCCCACCCACACACACCACAUCACCCACACACACACCCACACACCCAUACCCAUACACACACACACACACACACACCCACACCACACCCACAGGCACAAGGCAGACUAGUGUCCUUGUGGUGAAGCUACACCUUCAACUGUAUGAGAUGUACACACAAGAACACAAUCUGCUUGACUUCAAGACUGUGACCUGGUCCCAUACUAACUUUAAUUUAUUAGCCUACUAGUGACCUACGUAUAUACCACAACCUUGUAAUACAUUAUUUUAUUCUUUCAUGCAUGUUUGUUCAUUGCAGUUCUUGAUAUAAUCAUGAUGAC